ACCCUGUUUCAACUAUUUCACAAAAAAAAAAAAAAAAACUAAACAAAAACGCUAAUGGUGGCGCAAACAAGGGUUUAAUCAAAUCAACUGCAAUUAUCUUUGUUCCUGUUACUCCUCCAUCUCUAUGUUCAUCAUCCAUUCUUUCUUAGCCCAUGUUUUAUUUUACAGGUACAGUCUUUAUAAACCUUAACCCAUGUUUGCAGGUAAAAUCAAUAAACCCUAACCCAUGUUUGCAGGAACGAUUUUUACUGUUGGUAAACCUGAAAAAAGAAUGACCUUUACUACAAAGCCCUAACCCUAUUUUCCAUUUCUCUGUUUCCUUCUCUUGAUUUCAGUUUAGUUCAAAUUUUGAUAUUUUAAGAUAGAACACUAGAUAAUUAAUUGUCAUUGUUGUAAGAUGUUUUCAGCGUUCAAAAUCAAACAUGGAGCUUCAAGAUAGAUCGUCAGAGGUGAGGUUUUGUUGUGUUAUGUGGAUCAUGACAGUAAUUAUAAAUGUAGAAACACUUGCCGAUCUUGCUGCAUAUAUUGAUACAUAAAUUCCAAUGAUGCAAACUAGCUACUCGGUGAUUUUCUAGAUUAAAAUUAUGAAUAUGCUCCUUAAAAACUCAUAGAAACUCUAAUAUUUGUUAGACUUAUACAAAACCUGGUUUAGACUCACAAUUGAUGCAACCAAGUGAAUUUUUAAGAGAGGGAUUGCGCAACAUUGUUGUGUUGGGAAUAUCUUCAAGACAUCCACAACACUAAUGUGGAGCACGUCUAAUCAAAAUUUCGCUGUUCUGAGCACCACCAGCUUCAUUCAGGAACAGCUUCUGCAAGGGAAAAUUGAAAAAUUAGCUAGCGAAACUACAGGGUAUGUGAAUGAAAACACAAAAAAAACAAGCAUACGGGUGAUGUGAAUGACCAGCAAGAUUGUACUCUCCUCGAUUAUGAUAUCAGCAAAUCUAAGGUUGAUCGAUUAUAGUGCAGCCUUCCAUUUGUAAGGAUGCUAAUGGUUUUAUAGUAAGAUUCAGAUAUUUAAAUAGGAUGAUAUGGACAUGGUAUCUUAUACCAAUAUGCUUUUGAAUGACAACACAAGAUCCUUUUAGGGAGCUUGAUGCUGCAAGUCUACCACCGAUAUAAAGCUACAUGAGGAGGAUCCAGGAGGGUUGUGCUGAUCAUGAUACAGUGGCUUCUUUAUCUGAAAUGUAAAGAGGUUACAAUGCAUAUAAAAUGGUUCUCUUCGAUAACUUUUUUCAUCACUAAACAGAAUUUAGCUCGAUACUUAAAUUAAGCAUCAGGAGCUAUUGUAAAGGUAGUGAAGACAGGAAAAUCAACAGAAUACAUGAGCAAAGAAAGUUACUCGGUCUACGAUUAUGGGAUGAAAAAGAAUUCAAGAAGAUGAAGACUUGGUUUGGUACUCAACAGAAUACAUAAGCAAAAAAAGUUGGGAAAACAGGCCAAUCAACAAUAUGGUCAAUAGUUGUGUUUGUGAAACUGCAUUAGUUUGCACCUACAUAACAAGAAUUAAAAAUUGUGAUCACUUCUUCUGAGAGGUUCUUUCUUUGCUUUCUUCUUUUUUCUAUCACACAGUUGACAAAGAUUUUUCUUCUACAUGCAUGAUAUCUCCUCAUGUCCUAAAGGCUUCGGCCUUUGUAUAAUGGUUGUUAUUAACAAAACUACAUACUGCUGGCAUUUCUUAGACCGCGCUCAAGAUUAUA